GACGAACGCUGGCGGCGUGCUUAACACAUGCAAGUCGAACGGAAAGGCCCUGCUUUUGUGGGGUGCUCGAGUGGCGAACGGGUGAGUAACACGUGAGUAACCUGCCCUUGACUUUGGGAUAACUUCAGGAAACUGGGGCUAAUACCGGAUAGGAGCUCCUGCUGCAUGGUGGGGGUUGGAAAGUUUCGGCGGUUGGGGAUGGACUCGCGGCUUAUCAGCUUGUUGGUGGGGUAGUGGCUUACCAAGGCUUUGACGGGUAGCCGGCCUGAGAGGGUGACCGGCCACAGUGGGACUGAGAUGCGGCCCAGACUCCUACGGGCGGCAGCAGUGGGGAAUAUUGCACAAUGGGCGGAAGCCUGAUGCAGCAACGCCGCGUGCGGGAUGACGGCCUUCGGGUUGUAAACCGCUUUCGCCUGUGACGAAGCGUGAGUGACGGUAAUGGGUAAAGAAGCACCGGCUAACUACGUG
rnacentral:rRNA from 1 species